CUUGUCCUCAAUCACCGUAAUUCAUCAGGAUGAUUAGGGGUCCCUUAACUUCCAGGAGCUGAAGGGCGCUACAACCUGUCCCUUCCUGCUCUGAACUGCUCCAGAUAUCUGAGACAUUGGACAGUAGGGCUGGACGAAGUUGUAAAGAGUGGCUACUGGCCAGCUACCGUGACUCACCAGACCAUCUUCACAAUGGACCUCUUCAAGUCCUUUGAAGACAUGAAGGUGUUGGCCCCAGGAUGCUCCCCAUCAAGCCUUUGUGGGAAUUCUUGACAGAAGAACAAAGCCCUUUGGCAGGAGUGGAAAGAUAUGUGGUGACACAUUCCAGAAGGCAUUCCUCGAUUGGACGCGUGGGCGGUUUGAAAUAGACCAGCUUUGUGGACGCGAUCUCCUCCAUUGUCUUGCCUGCUCACAGGAGAUGCAUGCUGUAUCAGUGGAUAGGAAUUGCAAGAAAUACUGCUUCCAUAAAGCUUCAGGCUCCAGCACACUUCAAUUAAGAAGAUCAACCUAAUUGCCCCUUUCCUUGCCACGGUGGAGAGACUUGCGUACUCCAAUUACCCUGAGUGCUAAGCCAGAAGGGGGUUUAUAGUCCCGGCAGGUGCAACCAAGCCGGCCAGGUCAAAGGGUAGGAGGCAGACAAAACAGUCCAUAGUCCUCCAUGUCGGGGGUUGGGCUUGGGGCUAACUACCCCACCCCGGAAGAACUGAAAGAUUGACAUAUGGAAACCAAAUAAACUGCCCCAAAGCAGAACAUUUUCU
rnacentral:lncRNA from 1 species